rnacentral:lncRNA from 1 species
GAUGAUCUGGUUCAGAUCCCAUCAGAUCUAUGCGAAAAAAUUCGCGCAGCCUUCAUCUUCUUCGAGUGCAGGAAGAGGAUUCAGAUCCAAGAUUGAGAAACGAGAUCUUUAAGAUGCUAGUACACCAGUGAUUUCGGUGUUCUGAUCAGGUAUCUCUGUAUGGAUAUCAGCAGAGAACGGAUGCAUGCGCAGCUACGAUCGGAACCCCGAAUAUUUGCAGCAUCCGAAGGUAUGGAGAUCAGAU